rnacentral:rRNA from 6 species
AAAUUGAAGAGUUUGAUCAUGGCUCAGAUUGAACGCUGGCGGCAGGCCUAACACAUGCAAGUCGAACGGUAACAGGAAGCAGCUUGCUGCUUCGCUGACGAGUGGCGGACGGGUGAGUAAUGUCUGGGAAACUGCCUGAUGGAGGGGGAUAACUACUGGAAACGGUGGCUAAUACCGCAUAACGUCGC